rnacentral:rRNA from 1 species
UGAGGAAUAUUGGUCAAUGGUCGGGAGACUGAACCAGCCAAGCCGCGUGAUGGAUGAAGGUACAGAGUAUCGUAAACCUCUUUUGUCAGGGAACAAAAGGCGCCACGCGUGGCGCUCCGAGUGUACCUGAAGAAAAAGCAUCGGCUAACUCCGUGCCAGCAGCCGCGGUAAUACGGAGGAUGCGAGCGUUAUCCGGAUUUAUUGGGUUUAAAGGGUGCGUAGGCGGCGAGUUAAGUCAGCGGUAAAAGCCCGGGGCUCAACCCCGGCCCGCCGUUGAAACUGGCUUGCUUGAGUUGGAGAGAAGUAGGCGGAAUGCGCGGUGUAGCGGUGAAAUGCUUAGAUAUCGCGCAGAACUCCGAUUGCGAAGGCAGCCUACCGGCUCCAGACUGACGCUGAGGCACGAAAGCGUGGGUAUCGAACAGGAUUAGAUACCC